GAUGAACGCUAGCUACAGGCUUAACACAUGCAAGUCGAGGGACCGGCGCACGGGUGAGUCACACGUAUCCAACCUGCCCUUUACUCGGGGAUAGCCUUUCGACAGAAAGAUUAAUACCCGAUAUAAAGGAUUGGGAUGCGUUCGAGUAGGUUGUUGGUGAGGUAACGGCCCACCAAGCCUUCGAUGGAUAGGGGUUCUGAGAGGAAGGUCCCCCACAUUGGAACUGAGACACGGUCCAAACUCCUACGGGAGGCAGCAGUGAGGAAGAUUUGUCAAUGGGCGGUAGCCUGAAACAGCCAAGUAGCGUGAAGGAUGAAGGCUUAUGGGUCGUAAACUUCUUUUAUAUAAGAAUAUGUAUUAUAUGAAUAAGGAUCGGCUAACUCCGUGCCAGCAGCCGCGGUAAUUC
rnacentral:rRNA from 1 species